CCUACGGGAGGCAGCAGUGAGGAAUAUUGGUCAAUGGACGAGAGUCUGAACCAGCCAAGUAGCGUGAAGGAUGACUGCCCUAUGGGUUGUAAACUUCUUUUAUAUGGGAAUAAAAUGUUCCACGUGUGGGAUUUUGUAUGUACCAUAUGAAUAAGGAUCGGCUAACUCCGUUCCAGCAGCCGCGGUAAUACGGAGGAUCCGAGCGUUAUCCGGAUUUAUUGGGUUUAAAGGGAGCGUAGGUGGAUUGUUAAGUCAGUUGUGAAAGUUUGCGGCUCAACCAUAAAAUUGCAGUUGAAACUGGCAGUCUUGAGUACAGUAGAGGUGGGCGGAAUUCGUGGUGUAGCGGUGAAAUGCUUAGAUAUCACGAAGAACUCCGAUUGCGAAGGCAGUUCACUGGACUGCAACUGACACUGAGGCUCGAAAGUGUGGGUAUCAAACAGGAUUAGAUACCCGUGUAGUC
rnacentral:rRNA from 1 species